rnacentral:rRNA from 1 species
UACGUAGGGUGCGAGCGUUAAUCGGAAUUACUGGGCGUAAAGGGCGCGUAGGCGGUCAGCACAAGUCAGUUGUGAAAUCUCCGGGCUUAACCCGGAAAGGUCAACUGAUACUGUGCGACUAGAGUGCGGAAGGGGCAACUGGAAUUCUCGGUGUAGCGGUGAAAUGCGUAGAUAUCGAGAGGAACACCUGCGGCGAAGGCGGGUUGCUGGGCCGACACUGACGCUGAUGCGCGAAAGCCAGGGGAGCGAACGGG